UUGACAUGACCAGGGCAAAUGUGUGACAGGAUUUCUUCAGGAUGACCAGUUCCCAGGGCUGGGAUGGGCAUCCAGCACACCUGCCUCCAUGCCCAUGUGGUUUCUAGUGCCCUCAGCACACUGUGGGAGCCAGGUGAUCAAGUCCCUCCUGGCUCUGUCACCUCACCAUCCCCUAGUCAGUACCUGUAUUUGAGGUGUUGUGACAAAUGGGGAGAAAACGGGUGGGGACAUGGGGAGUGAUGCAAAGUGCUGCCUAAAUGUAAUUUGUUAACAUGAUGAGUAAUAGUCUUAUCUGACGUGAGUGCUAAUGUUGCCACAGGACAGGGUCUGGAGAAGAAAGGAAGCUGUUAACCAGGGACAAGCAAAUCACAUCUUGCUUCGUUUGAAAAAAAAAAAACAACUUAUAUUUUUAGCUAUAGGAAAGAGGAAAACAAAUGACAAUUAAGGACAUGAGUGACUUCGAGGCGAACCCGUUACUUCCUGAGAAGUUUGAAAAUGCUCACUGAGGUAGAAAUCCCCACAGCUUUGUGUAACAGUGGUGGCCAUCUUUUUUCCAAGAGUUCGUGAGUACCAAGGAUUUAUAUUUGAUUUCCUUACUUUGUUUUCCUUCCGCCUGAUUAUUCUACUGGAAAAACUGUGUGGGUUAUGGAGAGAAAGAGGAAAAAGACAAUACCACUAUGGAACAAGUUGUUACUAAGCGCAACCUGUGAUAUGGAGUGAGUAGCCUUUAGGAAGAUACAUAGUAACGUUUGACCAAAGUAAAACAAGAUUUCACUGACAAGCCCACUAGAUUCUGUUAAGGGUUGGCCCUGUCUUUUGUUGACAUAUCACACUCUACUUUCAAUGACAGUUUUAUGGGCUUUUCAGAAAUUAAAACAGCAAUAAAAAUAAUUACAUUAAUGCCUCCACAGAUGUGUUGGGGUUGUUUGAUAUUCUUGUAAUAUUUUAAGUCCUUUGCAUAAUUGGAUUAAGCAACAUAAACACACAACUCUAGAGCAAAAGGCCACUGUCAUCCCAGGAAAGAGACCAGCAUUAGCAAACAAAUUAAUUCCUGGGUAAACCAGAGAGAAAGGAGUAAGGCUUUGAUCCAAGACUUAAUAUUUUCAAACCAUCUCCCAGUUAAAUUAAAGAGCUAUCUCCUGAAGCAGAUCAGUGGAAACCAGGCUCUACAUUGCAUCCCCCUCUACCGCUAAGUGUCCCAUGGAAACAAACACAUGCUCUUGAAGUUGCUGACCUGCCAAGUGAGAAAAAACACAUUAUGUGAGUGUGGGGAGAGUUGGUGCUCCAAUUUGAAACAGUUUGUCAUUUUUCCCCCUUCAUGACCUUGGGUAAAUGACUUGAGCACCUUUGAGCAGGGUGCUGCCUUUCCCACACUAUAAAAAUGGCUAUUAUGCCUAUCAAUCAUGCAGAGGUGCCACAAGGCUUAAUUUAUUAGUUAAUGUUUGUGUUACACUCUGCAGCUCUUAGAUGGAAGGUGUUAUAGAAAUGCAAAGCAGCAAUAUAUUAUCUAAACAUCUGCCUCCUCAAAUAGCUCUCCAGAAAGUGUUCAUGGCUGCAGCACAAAUGAUUCCUCCAAAAAUGGAUAAUUUUGUCCAGGCCUUCCUUGGUCUGUAAAUUGUUUCUCCCUCCUUCCGGUGCACAGAGUGUCUAUGCAGAAUACACUCGAGUAGCUGUGUUUUCCGCCUCCAUAAUGGCCCUGUGGGUGCUGCUCCCUUGCACCCGGGCGCUGCGAUUCCUUAUAGGUCUCCUCGUUUCCUCCCCACAGCCGCUCUCUUUGUUCUUUACUCCAAAAAGCCAUUAUAACUAGGCAUUUCUUUUUUCCUAAUGUUAACUUCAUUUGUUUAUUUUCAGAGAGACAGCAUGAGCAGGAGAAGGGCAGAGGGAGAGGGAGAGAGAAUCCCAAGCAGGUUCCAUGCUGCUAGUGCAGAGCCAUACAUGGGGCUCAAACUCACAAAACUGUGAGAUCAUGACCUGGGCCAAAACCAAGAGUCUGAUGCUGAACCGACUCAGCCACCCAGGCACCUGUAAGCAUUUCUUUUGAUGAUUAAUUUUAUAUAUGGGCAUGUUAUACCUAACCCAAGGGCUUGGUGUUUUAAAAUUUGGCAGUGAAUGGGGCACCUGGGUGGCUCAGUCAGUUAAGCCUCCAACUCUUGAUUUCAGCUCAGGUCAUGAUCUGACGGUUUGGGAGACUGAGGCCUGCAUUGGCCCUGCACUGACAAGGCAGAGCCUGCUUGGGAAUAAUCUCUCUCUCUGCCCCUUCCCUGCCAGUGUUCUCUCUGUGUCUGUCAAAAUAAAUAAACUUAAAAAUAAAAUAAAAUAAAAUAAUAAAACUUGGCAAUGAAACCAAGAGAAAUCACUUAAAAGAUUCUUGAAAAUAAAAGAAGAAAAUGCAAACAAAAACAAAAACAAAAACAAAACUAGCCCAAGCUUGAACAUGUUUCGAUGAGACUUAAUUAACGGCUACAUUGCUAAAGAUUAUAUUGGAGAUUAUUUCUGCUAAUAUUAAUACUGUCCAUAAUUUUGUUAAACUCUGUACCCUACCCUAAAGCAAGUGGAUAUUUAUUCCUAUAUAAAUUCCAUAGUUCCAAGUGUAUGCUUGGAUUUGGGUAACUCCUUUCCCAAACACAACUAGAGAAAGACAACAAAUAAUAAAUGAUCUCAACAUACUGCAUUCAAAGUUCUUCCUCUUCCCACAUUUUUACUUCCAUUUCAAUUUUGAGAGUAUUUUUUUCGUUGCAUAUUAUUCCUCAACCCUAUUGCUUAUGGUUAUAGGAAUGGCUUCAUAUGUACCUGGGAUUUGUUUUAAUCAGGUUUCCUGAGAUGACAGACAUGGAGACAAUGGACUUGGAAAGAGUUUGUUACUUACAAGGCCCAAGAGGAGGGGGCAUGCAGUUCCAUGCAGGGCCACCAGGGGAAGCACCGGGCAAGGCAGGAAGCAGAAAGAGCGACCAGAAAAGUGUGGCCCAGGGACUCUAUUGUGGUUCCUGGCGGAAGGACUGGGUGAGGCAGGGUAGGCAAGUUUGAGCAAAGGCAGGCUCUGGGCUAUAAGAGUGGUCUCCAGUUGCCUAGUACUUGGCCCUGGGGUGAUUUGGGGCAGGGGAAAUAUGGGCUUGGUGUGUGAGGUUUUGAUAAAGGAGGUAGAUGGGAAUAUGGAUUUUGGAUUAGUUGGUUGGUGUGUGAAAGGUGUGCUCACAGGCAAGUUGUUUGCUACCCCAGCUCUGGAAGGGCAGUCUCUCCCCAUGUUCAUGUGGUCCCCAAGAUGUCAAACAUCAUAAAAUAUAAAAAAUAAAAAAACAUGAUUAACACAGGGAGAUCUUGCCUGGCAUCUUCCAAGAAAAUCUUUAAGAAUUUGGCCAUACAAGUCUCUCACCUUUUAUUUGGUGAUAAAACAUACGCUUUAUACACAGAAAAGUUGUGGAAAUCAUCAUGAAAACAGCUACCAUUGAUGAGUACUUACUAUAUCUAGCAACCGGUGAAACACUAUAUGUACUAUGUCAUUUGAAGUAUUGAACUCUAAGAAUGCCAACAUGAAAAAGAAAAGUUUAAGUUACCCUUUUGUCCUUAUUUAUCUGUUGUUUCAUGGUAAAGCACCUCAAGGUAGGGUUUACAAGAGGUUGACCCAGAGGGCUUUGAAAGAGAUAAAUCAGCAUGUUCUUCCUUCUUAACAGAGAUGAGUCAGCCUGUCAACACUCAUUUGUGGUGUUGUAAAGCUGCUCACUUAAGUGCAUAACCUGCCAUGCAUGGUGUUGACUGGCUGUUUGAAUUAACUCUAGCAUUACUUGGAAGCUCAGCUCUGACACAUGGCUCCAAUUGAAAGUCUCUCCAUCUGUAAUGUCCUCAGUUUGUGGGUAAGGGUUCUUAACCUGGCAUAAAACAGGCAGUUAUCACCCGGCAUAGGUACCAUCACUGCCCAAACCAUACCCUUAGCCAGUAUUGUUUUGUCUGAGCAAGAAUGCAACCUCAAAAUCUCUGUCAACACAGUUCUCUAGGAAUUCACAACCAAGUUUUAGAAUUUAGGUUUUAGAGUUGUAGAUUGAAGGGUAAUCAAUAAAUUAGUUUAUUGACUACAGAAAAUCGAGACAUAGUCUAAUAUUUCUAUAUUUACAAUGAAUCUUUGCCUUACAAAAUGGGCAAUGUAGGUUCCUGCUAACCCAGAAAACUAGGUUAACCCUAAAGUGACCGGUUCUAGGCUGAGCCAAUCACAGUCCUUGCUGGGUCUCUUCUGCUGGGGUGUCAAAUGAGAUUGUUUCUACUGGAGAUGCUAGGUCAGGAGGGUAUAAGGAAGGCGCUCGUGGUGGAGGACAUCAUGUGAGCUCAGCCAAGAGAUGGAGAGAGAGACAGACAGAGACAGAGACCUUGGGUCCAAGCAAGAUGGACCACUUCCUAGGCAUGCAUGAGAGCCAAUAAAUUUAUUUUUCUGUCCCCGUAGGCUAGUUUAAAGUUGAACUUGUAACCAACAGACUUCUAACUAAUAGAAGAACAUUUAAAAAAAUAUAUCAAAGGUAUAUUUUUACUCUAUAGAGCUAUUUUCUAAAGUUCCAACAGUUGGACACAUGCUUAAUACUGAGGAGAUACAUGAUUCAUAUAAGGGGAUAAUAUUUACUGAGCUUACCAUGUGCUAGGUAUUGUUCUAGGCACUUAGCAUGUAGUGAAUCAUUUCAUUCUCAUAAAAUCAUUGGAGGUGGGUAUUACUAGCAUUAUUAUACAGAUGCGGAAACCUGCACACUGAACACUUGUCCAGGGUCACAGAGCCUAUAUUUGAAUCAGGCAGAGUCUGUGCUCUUAGCCACUAAGCCAGUACUUACAGCCUGGUUCUCGCCUCUCAAUGGGAAAGUCUUUCAUAAUUACGUCUAAUAACAAAAGAGAACAGGCACAGUAUCCUUUCUCCUUUCCAUGCCUCAUAGGCCUCCCUGGACCCUGAGUGCUGUUCUAACUUCCAAAGAUGAGCAGGAGAGUCUGGUCUCCCUUUGUAGGGGUGCUGACGGCUCUGACGCCAUCGUUGGCUCGCCAUCUUCUCCACGCCUGCGCAGUGCCCUCCCUCGGAGCUACGUGUUCCAGGCCCUAAGAGGUUAAUGUAAGCCCUGAUCACAAUGAGAGAAGGCUUGUUCUGAUCUUCCCUAAAGUGGCGCACAGAAGGGCCCACUGUAGAUAACUAGUAGAGAUCCUCUGGAGCACAGAUGGUGCCACUUUAAAUAACUACGCUGUGACCUCACCACUGUGCCCCUCCCUCUAUAAAAGCUGGGGGUAAGGCCCUGGCAGGGUGGAGAGUCGUCGUGCGGUCUGUGGAUUGUUUGCCUGCUGGAUUCUUCUUGUCAGUAAGUUACCCUGGACGAAACUGUAAACACUGUGGAGCGGCUUGUGUCGUUUUGGUCUUAAAGUGCCUUCUUAGCCUGGAGGUUCAUUACUGACCCUCUUGUACCUUCUAAAACCUUUGCUAUGAGAAUCGCUGCCCUUUAGAUUUGGGGAGAACAUUUCGGAAGAAAUUCUACCCAUAAGCCUCAGCCUAAACAGGCAUACCCAUCCUUUCAUAAGUACGUAAGGGUCUUGAAAAAUGUUAUUAAACCAGUGAUGAAAAUACACAGGUGAACCUUGGCAGUAUGCAAUAGAGGUAAAUAUAUCCAAGAAAGCCAAAUGUUAUGAGAAAGGUUAUUCCUACUGCUCAGGGACUGGCAUUGAAAGCAGGAAAAUCUGUGCGUAGCAGGGUGCAGUCACUGGGCUUACAUUUUCGUUGAUUGCAGGGAAGAUUCCUCUCCAAGUUCAAGUUCUCGCUGCCCUCUGUCCCAGGCCCCAGUAGAAUUGUCCAAUCCGCUUUUGGCACUUAGUUACUUGAUUACCUGCUGAAAUCCUGCAAUUGCUACAGCUGUUGCUAUUUUCGCUCCUAGAAUUUAUGAGCAGGGGAGCAUCUCCCUCGCAUCUGCUUUGGCUGUUGCUUUUGAAAUGAGCGGUAGCGCUGACGGGGAGGGCAUGCAGCCCCAAGAGCUCGGGGCAGGGGGGGGGGGGGGCUGAGGACCGCUAAGAGAAAGAGCAACUCUUAACUUUGGAAUUAGAAUAGUAGCAACAUUAAGUAUACACAUCUUUUUCCCUGAGGAAUGCCAAGUAUUUUUCAAGAGCAUGAACAUUAAAAUAGUGGCACGGUUUGUAUGUAACAUCUAGAUGCUCUGCAGUGGGGUGACAAGAGGUUUGCUUUUCAAAUGGAGGGGCAAUGUACGGAGAGAGUACAAUUAUCUUUAAAGGAACUUGUUAGCUCAGGGGGAUCUUCUUUUCAGAUGGUUCAUAGGUAACAGGGGAGACAGAGGGCUGGGAGAGAGGGAUGCAGAGAGAAAAUAAGGUGGUACUAUUUUCUAUAAGCAUUUCUGCACACUUUUCUUAAUGGACACUGACCUACACUCUGGUUUCCUCAAGGUCGAAGAUAAAAUUGAUUUUUAGCCAAGGAGCAAGCCCGCCAGACACCUUUAUGAGUCCUCAAUUCUACGUGGGCUCUGAUUUGGAGAAGGCUGUUCUCCUGCUUCCUUGGGCAUUGUCUGGCCUCGGGAAGCGGCCAAUUGCAAAGAAAGUUCACUAAGGAUAAUAAGCUAUUUUCCAUAAAGUCAGGUACUUGGGAUUAGUUGGGGCCACCGGCUCUUUAUGCACAAGUGCCUAGAGUUACUGACUAGCAAACCUCAGAGCAAAACUGAGCGUCUGUCCUGCCUGAGCAGCAGAGCCCGGACCGUCUCUCCAUUUCCAUGUACAACACCGUCUUCAGAAGACGCGGGGGGAGGAUGCAUCCCCCAGGAUAAAUUCUAGUCAAUUCCAAGAUGUGGCAUGUUAGGCCAUUGGUGAAAUGCAAGCUCCUGGGAAAUCAAGCUGAUGCUGGAGAGACAGAGCAUGAACAGGGGAGGGUCAGAGAAAGAGGGAGACACAGCAUCCGAAACAGGCUCCAGGAUCCCAGCUGUCAGCACAGAGCCCGAUGCGGGGCUCGAACUCACAGACCGCGAGAUCAUGACCUGAGCCGAAGUCGGCCGCUUAACCAACUGAGCCACCCA